UACGAAGGGGGCUAGCGUUGCUCGGAAUCACUGGGCGUAAAGCGCACGUAGGCGGCUUGUUAAGUCAGGGGUGAAAUCCUGGAGCUCAACUCCAGAACUGCCUUUGAUACUGGCGAUCUCGAGUCCGGGAGAGGUGAGUGGAACUGCGAGUGUAGAGGUGAAAUUCGUAGAUAUUCGGAAGAACACCAGUGGCGAAGGCGGCUCACUGGCCCGGUACUGACGCUGAGGUGCGAAAGCGUGGGGAGCAAACAGG
rnacentral:rRNA from 1 species